rnacentral:rRNA from 1 species
AUGCACGCUGGCGGCGUGCCUAAUACAUGCAAGUCGAGCGAACAGACGAGGAGCUUGCUCCUCUGACGUUAGCGGCGGACGGGUGAGUAACACGUGGAUAACCUACCUAUAAGACUGGGAUAACUUCGGGAAACCGGAGCUAAUACCGGAUAAUAUAUUGAACCGCAUGGUUCAAUAGUGAAAGACGGUUUUGCUGUCACUUAUAGAUGGAUCCGCGCCGCAUUAGCUAGUUGGUAAGGUAACGGCUUACCAAGGCAACGAUGCGUAGCCGACCUGAGAGGGUGAUCGGCCACACUGGAACUGAGACACGGUCAGACUCCUACGGGAGGCAGCAGUAGGGAAUCUUCCGCAAUGGGCGAAAGCCUGACGGAGCAACGCCGCGUGAGUGAUGAAGGUCUUCGGAUCGUAAAACUCUGUUAUUAGGGAAGAACAAAUGUGUAAGUAACUAUGCACGUCUUGACGGUACCUAAUCAGAAAGCCACGGCUAACUACGUG